UGGGGAAUAUUGCGCAAUGGGCGGAAGCCUGACGCAGCAACGCCGCGUGCGGGAGGAAGGCCUUCGGGUCGUAAACCGCUUUCAGGGGGGACGAAGCCACCAGGGUUAAUAGCCCAUGGGGUGACGGUACUCCCAGAAGAAGCCCCGGCUAACUACGUGCCAGCAGCCGCGGUAAUACGUAGGGGGCGAGCGUUGUCCGGAAUCAUUGGGCGUAAAGAGCGUGUAGGUGGCUUGGAAAGUCUUACGUGAAAGCCUGCGGCUCAACCGCAGAAGUGCGUAGGAAACUUCCUCGCUAGAGUCCGGAAGAGGAGAGCGGAAUUCCUGGUGUAGCGGUGGAAUGCGCAGAUAUCAGGAGGAACACCCGUGGCGAAGGCGGCUCUCUGGGACGGUACUGACACUGAGACGCGAAAGCGUGGGGAGCGAACAGGAUUAGAUACCCCCGUAGUCC
rnacentral:rRNA from 1 species